CCUACGUGGGGCAGCAGUGAGGAAUAUUGGUCAAUGGGCUUACGCCUGAACCAGCCAAGUCGCGUGAGGGAAGACUGCCCUAUGGGUUGUAAAACUCUUUUGUCAGGGAGCAACGCCGGCUACGUGUAGCCGGACUGAGAGUACCUGAAGAAAAAGCAUCGGCUAACUACGUGCCAGCAGCCGCGGUAAUACGGAGGAUGCGGGCGUUAUCCGGGUUGAUGGGGUUUAAAGGGUGCGUAGGCGGAAUGCCAAGUAAGCGGUAAAAUCGCGGGGCUCAACCUCGCUCCGCCGUUGAAACUGGCGUUCUUGAGUGGGCGAGAAGUAUGCGGAAUGCGUGGUGUAGCGGUGAAAUGCAUAGAUAUCACGCAGAACUCCGAUUGCGAAGGCAGCAUACCGGCGCCCAACUGACGCUGAAGCACGAAAGCGUGGGUAUCGAACAGGAUUAGAUACCCUUGUAGUC
rnacentral:rRNA from 1 species